rnacentral:rRNA from 1 species
GGGCUUCUUAGCAUUGGGAAUUUACCUAGUUACACUCCCAACCCAAUGUGAAGUUACAAACUGUUGCCUCGGCGGGGUCAGCCCCGGGUGCGUCGCAGCCCCGGUUCCGGCGCCCGCCGGAGGUUCCAACCAAACUCUUUCCUAGUCCCCUCGCGGACGUAUUUCUUUAAGCUCCAGCAAAAAUUCAAAACUUUCAAAAUUUCAAUACGGUUCUCUCGGUUUGGCAUCGAUGAAGAUCGCAGCGAGUGCGAUAAGUAACUGUUUUGCAGAUUCAGUGUUUCAUCGAAUCUUUGAACGACAUUGCGUUGCCAGUAUUCUGGCGGGCAUGCCUGUCCGCGCGUAUUUCAACCCUCGAACCCCUCCUAAGAUCGGCGUUGGAGAUAAAACUUUUCACACGGGUGUGGCCUCUAAAACAGUGACGGUCUCGCCGCAGCCUCUCCUCGCAGUAGUUUGCACAACUCGCACCGGAAGCGCGGCGCGUCCACGUCCGUAAAAACACCCAACUUUUCUGAAAUGUUUGACCUCGGAUCAGGUAGGGAUACCCCGCCGAAUUUAGACA